rnacentral:rRNA from 1 species
GCUUAGAGGUAAACGAGUGGAGCUGAAGGUAGAGUUUAGAAAUCAAUAUGGUUAGUUUCUACUAAUGUGGCUAAAAAUCCCUUAAAAGAUUUUGGUUAUGUUUUAUAGUUAUUGGCUGUAUGCACUUUUUAUUCUCUAAUAUGAGACCGGUAAUUUGUUUUUCUGUCGUAGCGUUGAAGUUGAUCGUUAUUUCGGUAUCGGUUUUAUAGCUUGCUGCAUAGUUAAAUAUUUUACCGAUAAAUCCAUAUGUAGCGUGACUUUGGGUAGAUGGCUUUUUGUUAGUUAUUGACUCUUUUGAGACUUUAAUUGGCAAAUUGUUGUUUGCACUUUGGUGCCUAUAUUUAUCGGUCUCAUCGAAUAUGUAAGCGAUCCGCUUGUCCCGUCUUGAAACACGGACCAAGGAGUUUUAUUUGUUUGCGAGUCAAAGGGCCUUACGAAACCCCAGGGCGAAAUGAAAGUAAAGGUUUACUUCAGUAAACUUUAAUGUGAUCUUAUAGCAACCCUAUGAGCGCAACAUUGACCUGUCCGUAAGUGUUCGCACUUGGGCAGAGUCCGAGCAAACAGGUAGAGACCCGAAAGAUGGUGAACUUUGAAUGGGCAUGUUGAAGUCAGAUGAAAAUCUGAUGGAGGACAGAAGCGGUUCUGACGUGCAAAUCGAUCGUCAGACCUGUUCAAAGGGGCGAAAGACUAAUCGAACCAUCUAGUAGCUGGUUCCCUCCGAAGUUUCCCUCAGGAUAGCAGGUAUUUGAAACGCAGUUGUAUCUGGUAAAGCGAAUGAUUAGAAGUAUUUGGAACAUAAUGUUCUAAACUUAUUCUCAAACUUUAAAUGGGUACGAGGUAUGUCUCUCUUUAAUGGAGUUGUACAUUUUAAUGCAAAUGCUUAGUGGGCCAUUUUUGGUAAGCAGAACUGGCGAUGUGGGAUGAACCAAACAUUCAGUUAAGGUGCCUAAUAUUACGCUCAUGAGAUACCACAAAAGGUGUUGGUUGAUAAAGACAGCAGGACGGUGGACAUGGAAGUUGUCAUCCGCUAAGGAGUGUGUAACAACUCACCUGCCGAAUCAACCAGCCCUGAAAAUGGAUGGCGCUGUAGCGUAAAACCUAUACUGGAUCGAUAUCGUAAGCUUUAUGCGAGAAAGUGAUAUCGUGUAGGAGGGUGCCGUGGUUGCGUUGAAGCGACUUGCGUGAGUAAGCGUGGAG